rnacentral:rRNA from 1 species
UUGACAUGUCCGGAAUCCCGAAGAGAUUUGGGAGUGCUCGCAAGAGAACCGGAACACAGGGUGCUGCAUGGCUGUCGUCAGCUCGUGUCGUGAGAUGUUGGGUUAAGUCCCGGCAACGAGCGCAACCCUUGUCAUUAGUUGCCAUCAUUUGGUUGGGCACUCUAAUGAGACUGCCGGUGACAAACCGGAGGAAGGUGGGGAUGACGUCAAGUCCUCAUGGCCCUUAUGGGUAGGGCUUCACACGUCAUACAAUGGUCGGUACAGAGGGUUGCCAACCCGCGAGGGGGGAGCUAAUCCCACAAAGCCGAUCGUAGUCCGGAUCGCAGUCUGCAACUCGACUGCGUGAAGUCGGAAUCGCUGGUAAUCGUGGAUCAGCAUGUCACGGUGAAUACGUUCCCGGGUCUU